rnacentral:piRNA from 1 species
UCUCAAAUUAUUUUCUUCAAAGGGUGUGG